rnacentral:lncRNA from 1 species
AAAUAUGUUAAUUUUUAUAGUCCAAUAUCUCACCAUUGCCGUGAUAGUAAUUACCGUUUCUUCUUCCUACUAAAAAAAAUGAAGGAUAUAAGAAUGUCCAUAAAUUCAAAUACCACACCUAAAAUUCCUUUGGAUUCAAAAUGAACUAUUUAUUUAGAAGGUCUUUAUACUUGGCAAUUAUUAAAAAUUCUGUUGGAUUCGCCAAAAGCUGAUUGUGUAAAACAAGAUUAAUGAGUUAGGUAAUUAAAUUAGUUUUCUAAACAGAAUAUGAGUUUC